rnacentral:rRNA from 1 species
UCGCGGUGAAUACGUUCCCGGGUCUUGUACACACCGCCCGUCACACCAUGGGAGUCGGGAAUGCCCGAAGCCGGUGACCCAACCUUAAGGAGGGAGCCGUCGAAGGCAGGCCUGGUAACUGGGGUGAAGUCGUAACAAGGUAAC